GCCGAGAUGGCGGAAUUGGCAGACGCGUAUGAUUCAGGUUCAUAUGGGAGUAUUCCUUUGCGGGUUCAAGUCCCGCUCUCGGCACCA
rnacentral:tRNA from 3 species